rnacentral:lncRNA from 1 species
CUCGUUCCAGCAUCAGGGUGUCGAUUCUUAUUAGAUCCCCACCAUUUGAUGUGAUUUGUUAAAUCAAUCUUUCUUUCUACGCAGAAACCACUAACAUAUUCACUUUCCGCAGCUGAAUUAUCUCCUAUACCUUCAAUGUUUGUAAAAAGGUGAGAUGAUAGUGACCUUCAAUGUUUGUAAAAAGGUGAGAUGAUAGUGAUCUUGCAGGUAAAAAUAGUUGGAAUUAAUUGAAAUAUAACUUUUUCUCCACAUCAAAGAUGCACAAAUGAACGUGGUUCAUAUACUCCAUUCAAUGAAAUAUUAGCUUGGACAUAAAAUUCGAAUACCACGUACCAUG